UGAACGCUGGCGGCGUGCUUAACACAUGCAAGUCGAACGAUUAAAGCCCCUUCGGGGGUGUAUAGAGUGGCGAACGGGUGAGUAACACGUGGGCAAUCUGCCCCUCACACCGGGAUAACUCAGGGAAACUUGAGCUAAUACCGGAUACUCCGGGAUGACCGCAUGGUCGAUCCGGGAAAGCUCCGACGGUGAGGGAUGAGCCCGCGGCCCAUUAGCUUGUUGGUGAGGUAACAGCUCACCAAGGCGACGAUGGGUAGCCGAGCUGAGAGGCUGAUCGGCCACACUGGGACUGAGACACGGCCCAGACUCCCACGGGAGGCAGCAGUGGGGAAUUUUGCGCAAUGGGCGAAAGCCUGACGCAGCAACGCCGCGUGCGGGAUGAAGGCCUUCGGGUUGUAAACCGCUUUCAGCAGGGAUGAAACUGACAGUACCUGCAGAACGAAGCCCGGCUAACUACGUGCCAGCAGCCGCGGUAAUCUGAUGGCG
rnacentral:rRNA from 1 species